AUUGAACGCUGGCGGCAGGCCUAACACAUGCAAGUCGAGCGGUAACAGGAAGCAGCUUGCUGCUUCGCUGACGAGUGGCGGACGGGUGAGUAAUGUCUGGGAAGCUGCCUGAUGGAGGGGGAUAACUACUGGAAACGGUAGCUAAUACCGCAUAAUGUCGCAAGACCAAAGAGGGGGACCUUCGGGCCUCUUGCCAUCGGAUGUGCCCAGAUGGGAUUAGCUUGUUGGUGGGGUAACGGCUCACCAAGGCGACGAUCCCUAGCUGGUCUGAGAGGAUGACCAGCCACACUGGGACUGAGACACGGUCCAGACUCCUACGGGAGGCAGCAGUGGGGAAUAUUGCACAAUGGGCGCAAGCCUGAUGCAGCCAUGCCGCGUGUAUGAAGAAGGCCUUCGGGUUGUAAAGUACUUUCAGCGGGGAGGAAGGGAGUAAAGUUAAUACCUUUGCUCAUUGACGUUACCCGCAGAAGAAGCACCGGCUAACUCCGUG
rnacentral:rRNA from 1 species